rnacentral:lncRNA from 1 species
AAGCCAACAUUUCUGAGGACCUGACCUGAGCACAGGCUGAGCAGAUGGGAAUGGACACUCUACAGGAGCCUAAGUGUGGUCCUGGCUUUGUUAACACCUCAGAAAUGAACAGUGAGAAAAAGCCAGCGUGCAAGACUGACCAAUUCUGAUUUCACCAUUGUCACCAACCUAAAGGGCUCAGGCAGCCUCCAACCACAGGUCCUCUGGGUCAUGGCUGCUGACAAAAGCUAGCCCUUCCCAGCACAGAAACCAACAGAGACGAGAUCUUCAUGCCCGCCAGCCGCACCCUUCCCUGCACCCACCUCUGAGGCGGCAGCCUACCGUGGUGGAAAAAGUAUCAGGAACAGCAGUGGCUGCUUUAAGAAAGAACUUUCC